AGUGAACGCUGGCGGCGUGCCUAAUACAUGCAAGUCGAACGGAGUGGCGCACGGGUGAGUAAUGUAUAGCUAAUCUGCCCUACACUAGAGGACAACAGUUGGAAACGACUGCUAAUACUCUAUAGUGUAGGAUGAGGCUAUAUUGGAUCAGCUAGUUGGUGAGGUAAUGGCACCCCAAGGAUAUGACGCAUAACUAGUAUGAGAGGCUGAACAGUGACACGGGAAGUGGGACGCGGGCCAGACACAUACGGGUGACAGCAGAAGAGAAUGUUGCUCAAUGGGGGAAACCCUGAAGCAGCAACGCAGCGAGGAGGAUGACACUUUUCGAAGCGUAAACUCCUUUUGUUAGGAAAGCGGUACCUAAAGAAUAAGCACCGGCUAACUCCGUGCCAGCAACCGCGGUAAUAC
rnacentral:rRNA from 1 species